AUAUUUGCACGAAUCCCAAAGCUCCAUCCACUCCUCCACUUUUCUCUACCAAACAACCCGCUCUCAUCCUAGCUUCGAACUUUAUUCUCCCGAGUCCCAAACUUCAUCAUCUCCCAACCGUAUCACUCUUAUCUUCUCCACAUUCCAACGCCUCCCCAUCGUAUCUUCAUCACGAGUUCAUCCACAACGUCCCAGCCAUCAAAUAUUCUUCCGAUUAUCAUCCACGGAUAAGGUCCAAGCUUUUCAACCUCAUCUCCUCCGCGGAUCCGAUCUUCCUCCCAGCCGUUCCCGAGCCUUCAGCCAAGUCCAACUUCCUUUGCUCCAAAACAAAAUCUUUGGCAUCAUCUCGGAUAAAUCUAUGCUUCGGAAUAGAGCCACGUCUUCCGCAGUCCAAAGAUCUCCUCCGGAUCUGCUUCAUCCCGAAUUCCAUGGAUUAACAGCUUCAAACUUCAUCCUAUUCUCAAGCAAUCCUCCCAUGUCUUGGCUUCCAAUCCUUUCUCCUAGCAGAACAGAAUUCAUCCGCAUCCAGCUGCCCAUCGGUGGACGAGUCUCCUGCUCCCAGCCGAAUCAAAGCCCCAACGCAUCUCCCCUUCAUUCCGUUCAGCAUCUAUCAAAUCCUAGCAUUCGGAUGAAUC
rnacentral:lncRNA from 1 species